GCUUCCCGGAAACGAAAGUCUUCCGGUUCCGGGGGAAGUAUGGUUGCAAAGCUGAAACUUAAAGGAAUUGACGGAAGGGCACCACCAGGAGUGGAGCCUGCGGCUUAAUUUGACUCAACACGGGGAAACUCACCCGGCCCGGACACCGUAAGGAUUGACAGAUUGAUAGCUCUUUCAUGAUUCGGUGGUUGGUGGUGCAUGGCCGUUCUUAGUUCGUGGAUCGAUUUGUCUGGUUUAUUCCGAUAACGAGCGAGACUCUAGCCUACUAAAUAGUAACGGAAUUACUACUGUUCCAGUUGCUUCUUAGAGGGAUUUUCGGUGUUUAGCCGCACGAGAUUGAGCAAUAACAGGUCUGUGAUGCCCUUAGAUGUCCGGGGCUGCACGCGCGCUACACUGGCGAAAUCAGCGUGCUGUAUCCAUUCUCGAAAGGGAUUGGUAAACCCAUGAAAAUUUGCCGUGCUUGGGAUCGGAAAUUGCAAUUAUUUUCCGUGAACGAGGAAUUCCAAGUAAGUGCGAGUCAUCAACUC
rnacentral:rRNA from 1 species